rnacentral:rRNA from 1 species
CCUACGGGCGGCUGCAGUGGGGAAUAUUGGACAAUGGGGGGAACCCUGAUCCAGCCAUGCCGCGUGUGUGAAGAAGGCCCUCGGGUUGUAAAGCACUUUCAGUGAGGAAGAACGCCUGGUGGUUAAUACCCAUCAGGAAAGACAUCACUCACAGAAGAAGCACCGGCUAACUCCGUGCCAGCAGCCGCGGUAAUACGGAGGGUGCGAGCGUUAAUCGGAAUUACUGGGCGUAAAGCGCGCGUAGGUGGCUUGAUAAGCCGGUUGUGAAAGCCCCGGGCUCAACCUGGGAACGGCAUCCGGAACUGUCAAGCUAGAGUGCAGGAGAGGAAGGUAGAAUUCCCAGUGUAGCGGUGAAAAGCGUAGAGAUCGGGAGGAGUACCAGUGGCGAAGGCGGCAUUCUGGACUGACACUGACACUGAGGUGCGAAAGCGUGGGUAGCAAACAGGAUUAGAUACCCUGGUAGUC